AGACGUGAGCCCCGAGCAUUAUCCGAAUUUAUUGGGCGUGAAGCGUUCGCAGGUGGUUUGGCAAGUCUGUUGUCAAAGCCUUGGAGCUUAACUUCAAGAAGGUGACAGAUACUACCAGACUAGAGGGCGUUAGAGGCUGACGGAACUCUCGGUGUAGGGGUGCAAUACGUUGAUAUCGAGGGGAACACCAAAAGCGAAGGCAGUCAGCUGGGGCGCUCCUGACACUCAGGAACGAAAGCGUGGGCAUAAAACGAGAUUAGAUACCUCGGUAUUCCACGCCCUAAAUGAUGGAUACUGGUCAUUGGAAGUGUCGACCCUUUCAGUGGCGAAGCUAACGCGUUAAGUAUCCCGCCUGGGGAGUACGGCCGCAAGGCUAAAACUCAAAUGAAUUGACGGGG
rnacentral:rRNA from 1 species